ensembl:lncRNA
AGCGAAUGGGUGUGUUGAUCAAAUUAAUUGACCAAUAAUUUCAUUUUUGAUUUGUGUUAUUUUUAUGUUGAUGUGUACGUGGGAGAGAAAGUAAGGCCUGCAGCGUUAUAACCAAGUUUGAAAAUGAAAAGGCGUUCCACAAAAUUUGCAUGUGGAGGAUUAUAGAAUAGGAUGUUAACGAGCAAUCCUGACCUUUUAUUGUUAAAGAUAAAGGUAACCUAGCAACCAACCUACAUCCUCUUUACAUUGACAACGCAUAUUUGUUUUCAGGCGUGUUUAUCAUUUCCCAAAGGCUGCUGGGAUUCCGACGUGGACAGAAAUCAUUUCUGUGUUCUAAACCCCUGUGGUCAAAGGAACACGUAUCAGCGUUGACGGAGCCUCUGUCGGUCUGCUCUGCUGCCUUUGCAGCUCCCGCAUUCUGCUUUCACCCACUUGUUGUUUCGUUUCGUUGUGCGCCUACUGUGGACAUUCCUAAACCGCCUAAAACUCCUGUCUAUGAAGGUCAAAUGAUUCCUACGGACACCAACAGGGACUGGAAUCAUGUUUGACUUUUAGCUGAGUGUGCAAACACAGUGCUCACUUCAGUUGUUCCUGCAGUGCCCGCACAGGACCAACGUCCAGAUGGGAAGCAAUUUUAGCGGUUGUCUUACUCUUGCGUAUUUUUUACUUUUUGCAUUUCUUAGUUGUAUUAGUUGUGUCCUGUCGCCCAAAGAUCAUUCAUUCAUCACUUUUCAAUCUAAAUAUUUUCUCUUCAUUUUAAAAACAAUAUUUCUACCUGUAGCUCUGUUUCAAAUGCCCUUUUUGAUUACAUUACGUUGGCAAAUAUAUCUGUAUUUGUAUAUUGCCUAUCUAGUCAUUGAAAGCAUUUUUACACAACAUGUCUUUCACUCAUUCACACCCACACCUACACUAUUGGCACCGGCUGCAACGUGCCACCUGCCCAUCAGGACUACACAUUCGCACCCAGCUAUACACCCCAGUCACAGCCUUUGGGAGCUUUCUGAAUACAUUGAACAUUAAUACCCAUUGAAAAUAGUGAAUACUUCAGUCAAUCUUCAAAUAAAUAUGUAAUCUUAGUCAAACUUAGUCAAUCCGUCUCCCUUCUGGAGAUGGCAAUAUAAGACUGGGGUCUCAGCCAGAUGUUCCCCGUUAACCCUUAUUACAAGUGAGCCCAGCUAUAUGUAGUUGAUGCCACUACACCUCCCUUACCAUCUUUGGUUUCUGAAGAGGUGACUUCUGCUGUGGCUUUACCAGAGCCCGGUGCCUUUCUCUGUGAGUGUUGCGCCCACAGAGUGGUGGCUGCAUGCAGAGCUUGCAGGCUGUGCCCCAUACGAGCUCCAUGUGUCAAAGCCAGGCCUAAAGACACUUAAAGGUGCGCUCCCAUCCUAGCUGAGGCUUCUGAAGGGAGGAUGGGUUCUGUUUUCUUGAAAAUGUAUACAGAUGGGUCAGCGAAUCCCUCUUGGUCCUCCUCAUUUGAGUCACACAGGCACACACAUGCAUUAACGUGGUAAUACAAAUUAAAGAUCUAGUCUAAAAAAAGAGUGCUGUAUAAAAUCAGUAUAAGAAGUGUGAUAUGUAAAAUGUAUAUGCAUACAAAACAUUCUAUCAUUAAGCAUAUUGUAUUACAGAGC